ensembl:lncRNA
GAAUUGAUAUGUUCACAGGAAAACCUGGCAUUUUCUGAUUUAACUUUGGCAUACAGACAAUUACAGGUGCCCUUCAGCUGUCAUGGUGAAAUCUGUGUGAUGGUGAUCUUUCUGGAUUUUAAUGAACAUAAAGCCACUGCAGCUCUUCAGCAUCUUGUGGCAUUUUGCAUUCAUGUCCUUGCCAGGCAGAUGGUGGAGUUGAGGGUUGUGGAGAUUGGCCUAGCUCUGGAAUGAGGUGUGCGAAUUGCCUGGGGAAAUUUCCUGCUCCCAUUUAUUCAUAUGUGCAGAUGAGAAGGAAGGGCAUCUCCAGACUUCCACAUUGAAAUACCUAAAUCCAGCACCUGGAUUCAUUUAAGCAUAAUAGGUCUCUCUCCCUGCCUCUCAUCACAUAACCAGCAACAAAAUACUUGCAUUGUAUUUAUGAUUUAAUAGUACACUCCAUUUUCUGCUGCAAUAGGAGUUUGAGUAAUGUAACAAGAAACUCCUGUUGCAUUACUUUUUAAAGAAACUAAUUUCUGUAAAGGUGGAAGAGCAGCAAUAGAGGGAAUAGGUCCAGACUCUAUCUGUAAAUACCUGUGCUGUGCAUGCUAUGCCUGAGAGCACCAGGAGCAAGUUAUGCCUUUUUGUAAUAACAAGUUGAGAAGGACAAAAGGGAUAAUUGCCUCUAAGCACAUUUUCUGUAGCUGGAGGAUAUUUAUAUCAUUGAAUUUUAAAUAUCUAGAGUAGAUAGUAAAGUUAGGACACUAUUCUCCUAGGGUCUGUCACUGAGUAGAUAGGUUCUUCCGCAGGGUAAUUCAGAUCAGAUUAGUCUUCAAUUGAGGCCUUGAAUUGACCUUUGGAAAAGAAGAGGUCUUUGUAGACCCAGUAAAAUUUCUGUUGGAAGCUAGCAUGAGUGGAUUCAGAGUAAGAGGUUGCUUACACCUUGGUGCUCUGUAUUAUCUCUCCCCUGGCUUGACUUGCUUCCACUGAAGGCCACCACUUGCUUUGCUCUGUUAGAUGAACUGGAUAUGAUUGCUCCCUACAAAAUAUCUUAGUUAAAAUCAGAAAACUGCUUGUUUUCUAGUACUUGUCCUUUUGGUUGUUUGGGGUUUUUUUACCCUCUCAAUUUGGCUAUUAAAGCAAGCAGAAGGAAGGGGGCAUUUAGCUUCAAUUAAAAGAAUAACAAGCAGCAGGUGGGAGCAUGUUGGUCAUGCAAAUGCUUUAAUUCAAAUUAGCAUAAAUGAGGAUAGCCGCUCUUGAUUGUGAUCCAAAGCUUCUUAAUUUGUACGUAGCUCAUCUCAGUAUUGUGCCACAAAAAUGUCCAAAGUGAGCUUGUUUAUUUGCACCUCAUUAUGGUGGUUGAAGCCCUAAAGUAUAAAAUGCUACUUUUAUACAUAUGUGAACAUAUGAGAACUUUCAGGUCCUAACUGGCUUCAAUAAAUUCCUAAAAAAAAAGAUUCUUCCUUCCAAACAAACAUUGGAAGUUUUAGAUUAGAAAGGCUAGUAAGAGCAUAUUUAAAGUAUAGUGAAGGCAGUGGUUAGCAAAUCUAAGCUGGAAGGAGGGGCAGCAGUCCUUGGAUGUGUUUUUCAGGACUGUUUUCCUGGUCUUAAGCUGCAUUGGCCCAUGAAGCUAACAUCUACUCCUUUGCAGUCCUCAAUAUAGUCAGUAUUCCAAGAGCUCUUUCUGUAUGUGCAGUCUUAGAUCCCAAAUCUGUUUUCUGUGUUCCUAUGAAGUAAAUAGCUGUGCCACUUUUAGUUUUGUCUUCCUCUUAGUAUACUAGCGGUGUUUAUCUUAACAUCUAUAUUUAUUUUAAUAUUCCUCUCUGAGACUCAUGUUUUUCUGUUAUACUUAGGCAAGUACUUGAUUACAUUUCAAAAUGAGGUUUCUCCUCUGGUAUGUGUUCUGCUUGACCAAGAGUAAGUGGAAGAUAAUGUUAUUAGUGUGUUUCUUCUUUUUAGAUGUGGCUACUGUAUCUUUUUUCUUUCUGUGUGUAAACCCAAAAGUGUCUGUGUUUGCACACACAGCUCUGGCAUGGAUCCCUGGCUCCUCCUCAUUUGACUGAUGCUUUUGGGGUAUGAAUUAUGGUUUGACUUGAAUGCACACAUAGACGCAAAACAGAGAUGUUAGCCCUGUAUUCAUGAAGGAUUUCAUUUAUUAUGGAGAAAUCAUCUAAUGCCUUAUAUUGUUAAUUCAAAGAUAAAAUAUUCUUAUCUUUAAAAGUUAACCAAUGAUUUAUAUUUUGGAAAUUAGGCCUGUUUUCUUCUGCUGUGUUGGAUCAUUUAAAAUAUCAUAAUACUGUGUUGUGCAGUUUACUCCAUUACUGCUGGUAUAAAGAAAUUGAAAUUAAUGUUCUCCCUGAGUUGUCAGUGUCUGCUAAUUCAGAGAUGACAGAAAAGUAUUAAAAUAUAUUCAACCUAUAAUAUUUAUCUUGCUUUGCACUUAAUUUGUUUCCCUUUGACUGGGUUGCAAAAUUCCAAGUGUACAUAAAAUAAUGAAUAAAUAAAAAAUAA